GUGGUGAAGAGGACAAAGCGGAUCGUGUAUUAUUCUGCUGCCAUGUUUGUUGAACUUUCUGUGGACGCCACCGUCGAACUGAGUCACCGUUAUAAACCAUUUUAAUGGAAAGAGUCCGAACUACAAACCGUCUUCAGACACCGCCGACAGGUCGAAGCCACCGGCUGCUGUUUCCAGACCAGACAACCCGACACCCCCGAUGUCAACGUGAUUGUUGCUUCUGUGAAAGUGAAGGCUCCACUGCCGGUCCCUCCUCAGCUGCUCACCAUCACCCCUCAGCUCAGGAUAGAAGAGCACACACCUAACAUGGUGACACAAACGGACCGUUCGAGCAAGUCCGGCUUCUCUG